rnacentral:rRNA from 1 species
UACGGGGGGGGCAAGCGUUGUUCGGAAUUACUGGGCGUAAAGGGCUCGUAGGCGGCCAACUAAGUCAGACGUGAAAUCCCUCGGCUUAACCGGAGAACUGCGUCUGAUACUGGAUGGCUUGAGGUUGGGAGAGGGAUGCGGAAUUCCAGGUGUAGCGGUGAAAUGCGUAGAUAUCUGGAGGAACACCGGUGGCGAAGGCGGCAUCCUGGACCAAUUCUGACGCUGAGGAGCGAAAGCCAGGGGAGCAAACGGG